UCACCAUAACUCGAGAGGUGUUGUCAAUGGACCAGCUUGGGAAUACAUUUUUGUGGAUGGCAUGCGGUCCGAUGUUCGUAGGUCAUCAGUUUAGCUUGCAAGUCACAAGGGUUGGACUGCGUAUCAGACCGUCGAAAUGCUGAAGGCUAGAGAGGACAUUCAGUUGGCGCAAGUUCGUUGUGGGUAUGUCUCGUGUACUACGAUUGUGCACGAAGACUUGGACAAUGGUUACAGAUCAGUGGUUGAAUUUCGCGUCUUAUCAGUAGAAUCCUGUGCGAAGUUGUCGAAUGUCAAGGAUAUAGUUGCAAGACGAUUACACCUUCGCGGUUUACGGUGAUAGUUGUUAUGUCUAAACUUGAGUAAGGGUUUAAGUAAAAAGAUUCAGUUGUAUGAGUAAAGGUAAAUUUGGAACAAUCAUCCUAAGACUUUAGGAACCAGAGGUUAAGACCGAGGAAUUUGAAGAUCACCUAAUGACAUUGUAUGGACUCGAAUGGAGAAUAAUUUGAAGUGUUAUCGCAGAAGUGACAUGGUGGCAGUAAUUCUCAAACAGGAAGUAAUUCAAGGAGCUGAGUGGAUCAGUAAUGUUUGUUGAACGAGGGUGAACACAUCAGAGAAUGAAACGAAGGAUAUCCGACAUGAGUGGAUUAUUGGAGUUUUUGAAGUUUUGGAGAUUCAGUGCAGAGCAGUAAAGGUCAAGGACCCUGGAAGGACCCUUUCCCCAGGUGUAUCAAGACGAAGUAUCAGAUUAGACGUGUUGCUUGAGAGUUAAGGUUUCUAAUCAUGUGUAGUGGGAUGCAACCAUUUUGGCAGAUUAUGUUUCUUCGUGUGGAAUGACCCUCAGGCAGAGUAGUGAGAUUAUCUGAAGAGAAAUGUGAGUAACAUUCUUUCCCUUGGUUGGAUAGAUGUGAAGAGUUAGUUUUUCGCGAUGAAUGAAAGGAAUUCGAGGACGAAUUCAAUUUAAGGGGGGGAGAAUGUAAUAUCCCAUAUUAUGAUCAAGCAUGAUUAUGAAAUACUAAGAAAAUAUUAUGGACUAAUUUGCAUUAAGAAAGAUUAGUUGGAGUAGAAGGAAAUUGGUUAGGAACUAACCAAGUGGCUAUUGUGUAAAUAUGGCUUAGUUUGAGGGCAUAAUGGACCUUGAGUAAUGUUGCAUGUUAUAAGGCCUUGUUUGGGUGCAUGCUAUUCAUUUUUGUUUCACAAUUCAGAAUUUGGAGCAAGAGAGAAAGGAGGAAGUUAUGUUCAUCAAUUCCAUUUUCGCACCCUAAGAACAGCCUCCACUAAAACAGCUUCUAUUUCGAAGGAGAAAACUGACCUUGAAGUUGUGUCAGUGAUGCUGAAAGUGGGUACAAGUGUGAUUACGGAUUUGAUGAAGAUGGAGUGAAACUUUGGCUAUGGUGGGAGUCCAAUGGCAGCAAACAUCAUCUUUCUAAACCUCCAUUUUAGCAAGGUGCAGUUAGUAGCGUUUGGUCAGUAACAGGUUUGGACUGAUGACUUGGAAGUGGUGUUGGCUCGAAGACCUCAUUGGUUUUGACAUUCCGCUGUGCAAGAUCCAUUGAAGACUUAUGUAUUAUGCUUCUUAGUAGAAUAUCAUGUUGUAUUUUAUAUGGAUCUUUCUACAACUAUAGCUUUUGUAUGUACUCAAUAUCAAUUUUAACGUUUCAUGCAUAAUAUACUAGUCAGUUAUGUAUGGGGUGUUACAAAAAUAAU